rnacentral:rRNA from 1 species
UACGAAGGGGGCUAGCGUUGUUCGGAAUUACUGGGCGUAAAGCGUGCGCAGGCGGCUUCUCAAGUCAGGGGUGAAAGCCCCAGAGCUCAACUCUGGAAUUGCCUUUGAGACUGAGAGGCUUGAGUACGGGAGAGGUGAGUGGAAUUCCCAGUGUAGAGGUGAAAAUUCGUAGAUAUUGGGAAGAACACCAGUGGCGAAGGCGGCUCACUGGACCGUAACUGACGCUCAUGCACGACAGCGUGGGGAUCAAACAGG